AAGGUUGCAUUAAUGGUCUUUAUCCUCAUUUGUCUGAGGUAAUUCUUCUUGUUCUGUAUUGAUGAACAAAGUUCUGAGGCAGAUUAUGAGGUGAAUAAUAAAUUGUGAAUAUAUAAUUUGCAUUUGUUUUACUUAAAUCAAGUUAUGCUCCAUAGUUUAUCGUUGUUUCUUUUGCUUUGCUCUUUCUUUAUUUUCUUUUCCAUGCUGUUGAACUAAUAGAAAAACAUAUUUAUGCCUAUUAUUUAGGUAACUUAACUGUU
rnacentral:lncRNA from 1 species